rnacentral:rRNA from 1 species
GACGAACGCUGGCGGCGUGCUUAACACAUGCAAGUCGAACGAAGUGGCGAACGGGUGAGUAACGCGUAAUCAACCGGCCCUUAAGAGGGGGACAACAGUUGGAAACGACUGCUAAUACCGCAUACUGAAGGAGGGGAUUGCGUUGGAUUAGCUAGUGGGAGGGGUCACGGCCAACCAAGGCGAUGACCAGUAGCCGGUCUGAGAGGAUGAACGGCCACAUUGGGACUGGGACACGGCCCAGACUCCUACGGGAGGCAGCAGGGGGGAAUCUUCGGCAAUGGAGGAAAGUCUGACGGAGCAACGCCGCGGGAGUGAUGACGGCCUUCGGGUUGUAAAGCUCUGUUAAUCGGGACGCGGUACCUGAAUAGAAAGCCACGGCUAACUACGUGCCAGCAGCCGCGGUAAUUC